rnacentral:rRNA from 1 species
CAUAGGUUAAUGAGGCGAACCGGGGGAACUGAAACAUCUAAGUACCCCGAGGAAAAGAAAUCAACCGAGAUUCCCCCAGUAGCGGCGAGCGAACGGGGAGGAGCCCAGAGCCUGAAUCAGUGUGUGUGUUAGUGGAAGCGUCUGGAAAGGCGCGCGAUACAGGGUGACAGCCCCGUACACAAAAAUGCACAUGCUGUGAGCUCGAUGAGUAGGGCGGGACACGUGGUAUCCUGUCUGAAUAUGGGGGGACCAUCCUCCAAGGCUAAAUACUCCUGACUGACCGAUAGUGAACCAGUACCGUGAGGGAAAGGCGAAAAGAACCCCGGCGAGGGGAGUGAAAAAGAACCUGAAACCGUGUACGUACAAGCAGUGGGAGCCUCUUAAUGGGGUGACUGCGUACCUUUUGUAUAAUGGGUCAGCGACUUAUAUUCUGUAGCAAGGUUAACCGAAUAGGGGAGCCGAAGGGAAACCGAGUCUUAACUGGGCGUUAAGUUGCAGGGUAUAGACCCGAAACCCGGUGAUCUAGCCAUGGGCAGGUUGAAGGUUGGGUAACACUAACUGGAGGACCGAACCGACUAAUGUUGAAAAAUUAGCGGAUGACUUGUGGCUGGGGGUGAAAGGCCAAUCAAACCGGGAGAUAGCUGGUUCUCCCCGAAAGCUAUUUAGGUAGCGCCUCGUGAAUUCAUCUCCGGGGGUAGAGCACUGUUUCGGCAAGGGGGUCAUCCCGACUUACCAACCCGAUGCAAACUGCGAAUACCGGAGAAUGUUAUCACGGGAGACACACGGCGGGUGCUAACGUCCGUCGUGAAGAGGGAAACAACCCAGACCGCCAGCUAAGGUCCCAAAGUCAUGGUUAAGUGGGAAACGAUGUGGGAAGGCCCAGACAGCCAGGAUGUUGGCUUAGAAGCAGCCAUCAUUUAAAGAAAGCGUAAUAGCUCACUGGUCGAGUCGGCCUGCGCGGAAGAUGUAACGGGGCUAAACCAUGCACCGAAGCUGCGGCAGCGACACUAUGUGUUGUUGGGUAGGGGAGCGUUCUGUAAGCCUGUGAAGGUGGCCUGUGAGGGUUGCUGGAGGUAUCAGAAGUGCGAAUGCUGACAUAAGUAACGAUAAAGCGGGUGAAAAGCCCGCUCGCCGGAAGACCAAGGGUUCCUGUCCAACGUUAAUCGGGGCAGGGUGAGUCGACCCCUAAGGCGAGGCCGAAAGGCGUAGUCGAUGGGAAACAGGUUAAUAUUCCUGUACUUGGUGUUACUGCGAAGGGGGGACGGAGAAGGCUAUGUUGGCCGGGCGACGGUUGUCCCGGUUUAAGCGUGUAGGCUGGUUUUCCAGGCAAAUCCGGAAAACCAAGGCUGAGGCGUGAUGACGAGGCACUACGGUGCUGAAGUGACAAAUGCCCUGCUUCCAGGAAAAGCCUCUAAGCAUCAGGUAACAUCAAAUCGUACCCCAAACCGACACAGGUGGUCAGGUAGAGAAUACCAAGGCGCUUGAGAGAACUCGGGUGAAGGAACUAGGCAAAAUGGUGCCGUAACUUCGGGAGAAGGCACGCUGAUAUGUAGGUGAAGCGACUUGCUCGUGGAGCUGAAAUCAGUCGAAGAUACCAGCUGGCUGCAACUGUUUAUUAAAAACACAGCACUGUGCAAACACGAAAGUGGACGUAUACGGUGUGACGCCUGCCCGGUGCCGGAAGGUUAAUUGAUGGGGUUAGCGGUAACGCGAAGCUCUUGAUCGAAGCCCCGGUAAACGGCGGCCGUAACUAUAACGGUCCUAAGGUAGCGAAAUUCCUUGUCGGGUAAGUUCCGACCUGCACGAAUGGCGUAAUGAUGGCCAGGCUGUCUCCACCCGAGACUCAGUGAAAUUGAACUCGCUGUGAAGAUGCAGUGUACCCGCGGCAAGACGGAAAGACCCCGUGAACCUUUACUAUAGCUUGACACUGAACAUUGAGCCUUGAUGUGUAGGAUAGGUGGGAGGCUUUGAAGUGUGGACGCCAGUCUGCAUGGAGCCGACCUUGAAAUACCACCCUUUAAUGUUUGAUGUUCUAACGUUGGCCCCUAAUCGGGGUUGCGGACAGUGUCUGGUGGGUAGUUUGACUGGGGCGGUCUCCUCCUAAAGAGUAACGGAGGAGCACGAAGGUUGGCUAAUCCUGGUCGGACAUCAGGAGGUUAGUGCAAUGGCAUAAGCCAGCUUGAC